UUUAUCCUUUUCCCCUCCUUUUCUUCCCUCAGAGAGGGAGAGGGGGGUUAGCUUUUUAGGCAUCUGGUGUGUCUCUCUCUAUCGAUCCCCACAGGUAAGAAGACAAAAAAAAGGGAUGGAAAAGAAAAGCAUGAGGAGUUCAUGUCAUCCAGGGUGGAGCUUUUAAGUCACUGGAGAUGGGAAGAGAUAGUGGGAGCACCUUUCAAGGGAUCUGAUUGACUUGAGUUGAACCUUGAGGUUAUGAGUCAGGUCAAGUUGACUGUUAGGAAGCAGUGAGAAACAGACUCAUGUAACCAAUAGAAGAGGAUCAUUGGAACUUCCACAUAAAUAGCAUGGUUUGGGAAAUAUCAGAUAACAAAGCAAAAUUAUCCAUCAUUAUCAACUGAAAUGACCAUUUGCAGGCUAGACAUGUGUUUAUGCAACAAAAGAGAAAAAGGAUGAGAUCUCUUCAUGUUUGGUCAGCUGCAAAUUUUCUUUUCGAGACACAGUGACAAGAAUUUUCUCACUAGUCAUGUGAAAAAAGAUUUGAUGAGCAAUUUUAUGUUACUGCACCAUACACCAAAGUACAAAUACCACUGUUGGAUGGGGUGAUGUUGUCAUGUGAAACUGGAAUACAUUUUACUCUGGGAGAAAUAAACAUUUUCACAUUUGCAGUAUCUCUAGGAGUACACAGAAAAUUGAGCUUUGCUUGACAUUCUAUCAGCAAUUAGUUAUACCACUCAGUUCUCCUCAUGAUCCAACAUUGCAAAAUUCUUUAGAUUGAGAAGCCAGGAGCAAGCUUGAGUCUUGAAUCAGCACUAGCUUCACUUUUCUGAAAGAUUGACACCUCUUGUGAUUGCUUUCCAAAUAUCUGAAGGUUGUGGACUACAACAAGAAGCCAAUGAAGGAUAAACAACUCAACCGAUAUCUUUUGUUUGACAAAUCUAGUAGGUUUUGGCCACAAAGUCAGGUGAUAUUUCAUCCUUCCAUGUGCUCCCAAAACUUUUACAGACGGAAAUAAUCAAACGAUUGGGACAGUGCAGAUGAUACUAUCAGCAAACUGCAGAUCACAUACUCCCUCAUCAUGAACAACCAUUGAAAGCUGCUUAUAUAAUAUCUGCAUAUGCACACUACACAUGAGCGGCAACUUAGUCUAAUAACUAUUCCGACUCGACCAAUGUCGUUCUUGAGGGGUUCAACACCCAGUCCUACUGUUGGAAUCAGCUCUAUGUACUUCUAAGUAUUUGAUCUCGGAAGGAUUCCAGCAAUAUGUGAUAUAAGUGAAGGAACCUGGGAAGCCUAAGCAUCCUGUUCAUUCCAAUGCAAAGAUCCCCAUCAUCUCCCAAGUACCCAAGAUUGACUCAGCUGCAUGUACCAAAGCUUUGUUUGGAAGCCACACAGCACAAUUAGAGGUGAUCAUGUAAGGCAUCUGCUAUGAGCCUCUCGAUGUCAUCCUACAAAAAUCCUCAAAACUGUUGAAACAUUAAGAUAGUCGGCUGUUAAGGGACCAAACAUGGAGCUUAUCAUUGUCCUCGGAAGAGUAUGUGAUGUAUGAUGCCCUUUCAUCAUUGUCGUCCUUGAAGAUUGUCAAAUCCCCACUCACAACCAUGCAGCCAUGUUAUAGAAGUUUGUGAAAGGUCUUGUGGGGGAGUCACUGAGCGAAACUCCAACUGGGCUUUGGUGGUUAAAGCUAAUCAGCAACGUCUAUGAGCAUCAACAUGACAAGUAAUCAGACUUGCCAUCGUAGAUCACUUCAGGAUAUGUUCAAGGAUGUUGUUAGACUUGUGAAGAUCAUGGGUGAUUUAAUUUCAUCUACUGUGAGCACAAUCCCUUCACUCACCUAUUCCUACAAGCCUUUUAAAAAAUAGCAACCGACUCUAUUAAACAUCACCUGGAGAAAAGUAUAUAAAUCAAUUAAGUUGAACUUUUCCAUA